UGGGGAAUAUUGGACAAUGGGCGCAAGCCUGAUCCAGCAAUGCCGCGUGUGUGAAGAAGGCCUUCGGGUUGUAAAGCACUUUUAUCAGGAGCGAAACGCUGUCGGCUAAUACCCGGCGGAACUGACGGUACCUGAGGAAUAAGCACCGGCUAACUUCGUGCCAGCAGCCGCGGUAAUACGAAGGGUGCAAGCGUUAAUCGGAAUUACUGGGCGUAAAGCGUGCGUAGGCGGUUUCUUAAGUCUGCUGUGAAAUCCCCGGGCUCAACCUGGGAAUGGCAGUGGAUACUGGGAGGCUAGAGUGUGUCAGAGGGGUGGUGGAAUUCCCCGGUGUAGCGGUGAAAUGCGUAGAGAUCGGGAGGAACAUCAGUGGCGAAGGCGGCCACCUGGGACAACACUGACGCUGAGGCACGAAAGCGUGGGGAGCAAACAGGAUUAGGAUACCCUGGUAGUCCACGCCCUAAAGCGAUGCGAACUGGAUGUUGGUCUCAACUCGGAGGAUCAGUGUCGAAGCUAACGCGUUAAGUUCGCCGCCUGGGGAGUACGGUCGCAAGACUGAAACUCAAA
rnacentral:rRNA from 1 species